AGAGUUUGAUCCUGGCUCAGCCUGAACGCUGGCGGCAUGGCUAAAACAUGCAAGUCGAAGGAGAAGCGGGCUUCGGCCCGUGGACACUGGCGAAAGGGCGAGUAAUGCAAUCGAACGUACCCCGAGGUGGGGGAUAGCGUCGGGAAACUGGCGGUAAUACCCCAUACGCUCUACGGAGGAAAGCUCCGGCGCCUUGGGAGCGGCGAUUGUCCUAUCAGGUUGUUGGUGAGGUAACGGCUCACCAAGCCUAAGACGGGUAGCGGGUGUGAGAGCAUGACCCGCCGCAUCGGAACUGAGACACUGUCCGGACUCCUACGGGAGGCUGCAGUAACGAAUCUUCCGCAAUGCACGAAAGUGUGACGGAGCAAUGCCGCGUGUGGGAUGAAGCGGUUACGCCGUGUAAACCACUGUCAGGGUCUAGGAAGAACUGACCAGACCCAGAGGAAGGGCCGGCUAAUCUCGUGCCAGCAGCCGCGGUAAUACGAGAGGCCCGAGCGUUAGGCGGAAUCACUGGGCUUAAAGGGUGCGCAGGCGGGCAGGCAGGCAUCUCGUGAAAUCCCUCGGCUCAACCGAGGAACUGCGGGGUGAACCGCUUGUCUUGAGGAAGGCAGAGGCUGUCGGAACGUUCGGUGGAGCGGUGGAAUGCGUAGAUAUUGAACGGAACGCC
rnacentral:rRNA from 1 species